AGUUAAAAUCGUUAAAGAUGUCAAAUAAACCGGGUUCUUAUUAUUUUGGAAAUUUAUAAAAUGUAGAUUGUAGAAUGUAGGUGUUUUAGUAUAUACAUUUAAUCCAUGAUAAAGUAAAUUUCUUUAUCAUGUUAUAAUCAUUAUAUUACAAUUUUCAGUACAUAAUUACAUUUUUGUUUCAUUGUAUUUUUUCAGGACCUAGCUUCAUAUUAAGUUUUGAUUGUAACAAAUUUAAUAUUAAAAAUGUAUAAUAUUAUUAUGUUGUAAAUUAAUAUUGUUCUUUUACAUAAUGCUUUUUAUAUUAAAAGUAAGCAAUGGAUACCUAAUUUAGAUUUGUUAAUAAUUAAUAACUCAUACAUGUUAUUAUUAUCAAUAUUAUUUAUUCUUAACCUGGAACUUAGAAAUAUUGACCACAGAUUUUAGUUUUAAAUAACCCAUUAAGAAGUGCUUCUAAAACUAUUACUUGAUUAGUUUAAAAUUGAAAAUGUUUCAUUUUUAAGUUUUCAAAUCGUUUAAAUUAUUUGUGGAAAGGUUUUGUUAAUGGUUGAUUCUCACGAUACUGUGUGAGUGUGCUUGAUUUUUCGUAUUAAAAAUACUAAUUUUGGUCAUCUCCCUGAAAUGGGCGUAUUAUUUUCAUUUUACCCGUGUGUUAAAAAGCUUAGAUCCGGAGGUCCAUUUCAAUGGCCCCCCCACUUUCAAAAUUUGAACUUCUGACCACGCUAAACGUUUGUGCAUCGUUUGUGCAGAAAUGUGCACCAAGUCCAAUCGUUUGUGCACAAAAACUGAAAGCUCUAUCCCUAAAACAAAAUGGGGGGGGGCAUUGAAACGGUAGCCCCCCCCACAUUGAAUAUUUGGAUUUUUGAAUGUGCCAAACGUUUGUGCAGAAAUGUGCACCAGGUCCCGACGUUUGUGCACAAAAACUCCCAGCGCUAUCCAAAAAACAAAGUAUUUUUAAUUUAUCAAGAAAGCAUUAUCUUGUUCUAAUGUUUUUGAUUUCAAAAUUGUAUGAAUAAAUACAGUUUUUUCUUUAUGCAUUUCUUUACUUUAUAUUUUAUAUUAUAUUUUGCUGAUGAAAAUGUGUUUAUGGACAGGUACCUCAACUCGACGUUGCUGUAUGUCCGGUCCAAUAAUGUAAGUUAUAAGUCAUUGUGUAUAUUUUAAUACAAUAAAAGCAUAGUAAAAAAAUUAUUAAUAGACUAUAUUAAUAUAGUACCUACUUAAUUAAUUUAAUAUACCUAACCGUACCUAUAUACAUAUAAAAAUAUUAUAAUAAUAUAUUAUUUAUGUUUGAAUUCAUUAGAACAAUGGCGUAUCAGACGUCGCUCCCAAACCGGUCGACAUCCAUCUGCAUAACUCAUUCCACAAGAAUGAGUGGUAUAGUUUGAAAACUUACCAAAGUUAUCUGGUGGAUGUCGAUACGUUGGUGAGCAGCCGUCGCACAUAGGUCUGAUGUACCUAUGGAAAGUUAUUAUUGGAUCGGUCAUAAUAUUACGUUGAGAAGUUAUCUGUCCAUAAACUUAUUUUCAGAUUUGUAGGCCAAUUCCGUAGCCAUUUUUUAAUCAUUCUUUGUUUUUAUUAAGUUUGAGGUGUAACAGCAUUUUAGGGGCUAUUGUAAUUCCCACUUCCAGGACUUUAUCAUACAUACAGCCGACAGCACGAUGACCUACAUUUUUGUGUAUUCUGGUCUACACUAUGCUGGCAGCGAAGUAACGAUCACGUCACCGUUUAUCAGAUUGCCCAGUUUGAAAGAGUCUCCAACAAUUUCAUCGGAUAUGUACGCCAUAAACCGUGGCAUAGCGCUGGGCCAGCAUCAUUUUGUCCGGAUCAAUAUCUAAAAAAAUGGCGUCCCAAUUAUUAGAAGCUAAUAAUAUAGUGUCUUUGUCGAACAGUCAGCUGUACGAAGUUUCCGCUGUGCCACAAAACGGGUCGACGCCGGUCGCUGAACAUGGGAAGUCCUCAAGUCCACCCAGCAUCGUAUUGAUGAAUCAACAAUACAUCUUACAUCUUACAUCUAUCAUUGCAAUCUUAUAAUUAUUCACCUGAAUGCAUGUAAUCCUGAAUGUACAGUUAAUUUAUUACUACCCAUCUACAAAGUCAACCCUGUAUUAAUAAAAGUAUUUAUUGUUAAAAUAAA